CGCUCAUUCNAAACCAUGAAAGGUGUUGGUUGCUUAAGACAGCAGGACGGUGGCCAUGGAAGUCGGAAUCCGCUAAGGAGUGUGUAACAACUCACCUGCCGAAGCAACUAGCCCUGAAAAUGGAUGGCGCUGAAGCGUCGUGCCUAUACCCCGCCGCCGGCGGCAGAGGGCGAGUCCCUGGUGGCUCGCCGCGAAGCCCCGGUGAGUAGGAGGGUCGCGGCGGUGAGCGCAGAAGGGUCUGGGCGUGAGCCUGCCUGGAGCCGCCGUCGGUGCAGAUCUUGGUGGUAGUAGCAAAUACUCCAGCGAGGCCCUGGAGGACUGAUGUGNAGAAGGGUUCCGUGUGAACAGCCGUUGCACACGGGUCAGUCGAUCCUAAG
rnacentral:rRNA from 1 species